UUCUUUGCGCAGUGGCAGUAUCGUAGCCAAUGAGGUUUAUCCGAGGCGCGAUUAUUGCUAAUUGAAAAAUAUGUAUAAAAUAGAUC
rnacentral:snRNA from 1 species